rnacentral:rRNA from 1 species
AGAGUUGAUCCUGGCUCAGGAUGAACGCUAGCUACAGGCUUAACACAUGCAAGUCGAGGGGCAGCAUUGGAGUAGCAAUACUCAGAUGGCGACCGGCGCACGGGUGAGUAACACGUAUCCAACCUGCCGCUUACUCGGGGAUAGCCUUUACGAAAGAAAGAUUAAUACCCGAUGGUAUAAAGAGUUCGCAUGUUCUCUUUAUUAAAGAAUUUCGGUAAGCGAUGGGGAUGCGUUCCAUUAGAUAGUUGGCGGGGUAACGGCCCACCAAGUCUACGAUGGAUAGGGGUUCUGAGAGGAAGGUCCCCCACAUUGGAACUGAGACACGGUCCAAACUCCUACGGGAGGCAGCAGUGAGGAAUAUUGGUCAAUGGACGAGAGUCUGAACCAGCCAAAAGUAGCGUGAAGGAUGACUGCCCUAUGGGUUGUAAACUUCUUUUAUAAGGGAAUAAAGUGAGGGACGUGUCCCUUUUUGUAUGUACCUUAUGAAUAAGGAUCGGCUAACUCCGUGCCAGCCGCCGC